rnacentral:lncRNA from 1 species
UGCAGAUUACGAGCCUUAUUCUCCUUCUCCUCCGCCUCCAACGCCAUCUCCUUCUCCUUCUGCGCCUUAUGUAUAUAAAUUCCUACCUUCACCAUCACCUUCAUCACCUCCUCCAUAUGUCUACAAGUCACCUCCACCUCCAUCAUCAUCACCUCCUCCUCAUUAUAUCUACAAGUCCCCAUCUCCACCGUUUCCUCCAUCUCCAUACUACCACAAGUCCCCACCUCCACCAUCUCCAUCAACUCCACCACCUUACUACUAUAAGUCCCCACCUCCACCAUCUCCUUCACCUCCACCACCUUACUACUACAAAUCACCCCCUCCACCACCUCCAUACUACUAUAAGUUCCCACCUCCACCAUAUUCAUCACCUCCACCCGCAUACUACUACAAGUCUCCACCUCCACCAUCACUAUCUCCUCCACCUCCAUACUAUUAUAAGUCUCCUCCACCAACUUCACUAUUUCCACCGCCACUUUAUUAUUACAAGUCACCACCACCAUCAUCCCCAUCCCCUCCGCCACCUUAUUAUUACAAGUCCCCUCCUCCACCAUCACCUUCUCCUCCACCUCCUUAUUACUAUAAGUCUUCAUCAGC